UAUUUUAUAUGAUGCACGACUUUUCAUUGUACAUUCAUUAACUUUUAUCAAAAUUAACAAAAAAUACCAAACUGGGCCAAGAACGGAAAAUAUUUACAGUUUUGCAACUAAAUUGAAAUUAAUCAGAGCACAUAAAUAUUUACAGUUUUGCAAGAUAUACCAGAAAAAAUUUAGUCUACAGUUCUAUGUGCAGUAACGUAACCUCAGGUGACAUACUGCAUUUGCUUGCAAUCGUGACAUGUGACGAUUAAUAAUUCGUUCUAUUUGCGAUUCCAUUUGCAGUAACGUAACCUUAGGUGACAUACUGCAAACCUAUUUGCUUGCAGUCGUGACACGUGACGAUUAAUAAAUUUUUUAUUAUAUAAAAUAAUAAGCAACUACCACGUAUAAAAAACACUAAUCGCCACAUAAAACAAAUACGAUACCCACUACAACAACAUUGUCCAUAGCCCCACCUUCCUCAAUAGUAACUAUCAUAUUCAUUAACAAUGGCUCUCCUUUUAACGAGAUCACCCAAAAACCCGAUAAAUAACAUUUGAAACUUGAAUUGGUGGGGUGCGCCAGGCCCAUGCAGCAGUGCAACGCUUGGGCGACGCUCGAAGGCCCAGGCAGCAAGCUACCAUAACGGGUCUUCCCCCUCAAAAAAUUAAUUUAAUAUCGUGUGGGUCAAUGACCCACAUAUCAGAUAUUAAACUGAUAAGAACAGAUACUACACUUGAUCUUAGCCAAAAGGCCG
rnacentral:lncRNA from 1 species